rnacentral:rRNA from 1 species
UACGGAGGGGGCGAGCGUUAUUCGGAAUUAUUGGGCGUAAAGGGCGCGUAGGCGGCUGUACAAGUCAAAGGUGAAAUCCCUCGGCUCAACUGAGGAACUGCCUUUGAAACUGUACGCUUGAGGCCGGGAGGGGGUAGCGGAAUUCCCAAUGUAGCGGUGAAAUGCGUAGAUAUCGGGAGGAACACCAGUGGCGAAGGCGACUUCCUGGCCUGUUCUUGACGCUGAGGCGCGAAAGCUAGGGGAGCAAACGGG